rnacentral:rRNA from 1 species
GGAUAACUGUGGUAGAUUCUAGAGCUAUAUACUUGCACAAAAAGCUACUCGUAAGGGUGGUUGCAGUUGUUACUCUUAAGCCACUGGAUAUGUGUAGCAAUACUCUAUCCNNNNNNNNNNNACAAUCCCACGGACUAAAAACAACAAAGCUGAUCUAUCUUGCUCUCUGAGCAUUAGACAGUCCCGUCGAAUGUCUGCCUUAUCAACUUUCGAUGGUAGUCUAUUGGACUACCAUGGUUAUAACGGGUAACGGGGAAUCAGAGUUCGAUUCCGGAGAGGGAGCCUGAGAAACGGCUACCACAUCCAAGGAAGGCAGCAGGCACGCAAAUUACUCAAUCCCAAGAAGGGGAAGUAGUGACGAAAAAUAACAAUGCGAGACUCUUAAGAGGCCUCGUAAUUGGAAUGAGAAAAGCGUAGAAACCUCUAACGAGGAUCAAUUGGAGGGCAAGUCUGGUGCCAGCAGCCGCGGUAAUUCCAGCUCCAAUAGCGUAUAUUAAAGUUGUUGCGUUUAAAACGCUCGUAGUUGAAGUUGGUAUGGUUGUGUUGUGUGCUUUUAGUGUUUGGUGUGUGUGUUUUGUGAUGUUGGUGGUUCAUAGGUAAAACUUUGGAUCAUCAUCACUCACUUGACCACCCCAAACAAUUGCCACAAUACCCUACUGUUGCUUUCAAUAGAUUGUGCCUUUAACCAGGUGCAAUCACCAUUGUUAGCAGGUUACUUUGACAAAAGAAGAGUGCUCAAAGCGGGCAAUCGGAUACUCUUCGUUAUGCUUGUACUUGACAGCAUAGAAUAACGGAACAUGAUGUGAAAGUGGUGGUUGGUAUAGUAUGAAAAUACUAUCAUCCAAUACCUGGCACGCCGUUGGCUAAAUGCCUCACAUAAUGAUGAAUAGGAACGAACGGGAGCAUUGGUACUACAGGGUUAGAGGUGAAAUUCUUAGAUCCCUGUAUGACCAACAACUGCGAAAGCAUUUGCUAAGGACGCUUUCAUUAAUCAAGAACGAAAGUAGAGGAUCGAAGGCGAUUAGAUACCGCCCUAGUUCUAACCAUAAACGAUGCCAUCCAGUAGAUAGGCAUUGGGUGCUACAAAAACUUUCACAAAUGACCCAGCCUGUGACUUACGGGAAACCACAGAUUUGGUUACGGGGGAAGUAUGGUUGCAAAGCUGAAACUUAAAGGAAUUGACGGAAGGGCACCACCAGGAGUGGAGCUUGCGGCUUAAUUUGACUCAACACGGGAAAAUUUACCAGGUCCGAACACUGUAAGGAUGGACAGAUUGAGAGCUCUUUCUUGAUUCAGUGGGUGGUGGUGCAUGGCCGUUCUUAGUUCGUGGAGUGAUUUGUCUGGUCGAUUCCGAUAACGAACGAGACUCUUACGGGCUGGUUGUUUUAGGGCUAAUUGCCUAUUGGUUGGUGUGUGUGGUAUCCCAAACUUGGUAGUUGAAACAGUACUAUCAGGGCCGUUCACCCUAACCAAAACACCCAGCGGUACAGGCAGCGGUUUAAGCUGUACGAGAAAGAGCAAUAACAGGUCUGUGAUGCCCUUAGAUGUUCUGGGCUGCACGCGUGCUACACUGAAGUAUUCAACGAGCAACGGUCAUACUUUGGGGGAGUGUUGGUAUGAUGGUAUGGUGGUAAAACAUCACUAUUGUAUCACCUCCAUCCACAAGUAAACCAUCCUAGUGCGAAAUCAUUGGGUAACCAUUGCAAUGUACUUCGUGAUGGGAAUAGGGCAUUGUAACUAUUGCCCUUGAACGAGGAAUUCCCAGUAAGCGCAAGUCAUUAGCUUGUGCUGACUAAGUCCCUGCCCUUUGUACACACCGCCCGUCGCUACUACCGAUUGAACGGUAUAGUGAGG